UACAGAGGGGGCAAGCGUUGUUCGGAAUUACUGGGCGUAAAGGGCGCGUAGGCGGCCCGCUAAGUCGAACGUGAAAUCCCCGAGCUCAACUCGGGAACUGCGUCCGAUACUGGCAGGCUUGAAUCCGGGGGAGGAUGCGGAAUUCCAGGUGUAGCGGUGAAAUGCGUAGAUAUCUGGAGGAACACCGGUGGCGAAGGCGGCAUCCUGGACCGGCAUGACGCUGAGGCGCGAAAGCCAGGGGAGCAAACGGG
rnacentral:rRNA from 1 species